GAACGCUGGCGGCGUGCCUAAUACAUGCAAGUCGAGCGGACAGAUGGGAGCUUGCUCCCUGAUGUUAGCGGCGGACGGGUGAGUAACACGUGGGUAACCUGCCUGUAAGACUGGGAUAACUCCGGGAAACCGGGGCUAAUACCGGAUGGUUGUUUGAACCGCAUGGUUCAAACAUAAAAGGUGGCUUCGGCUACCACUUACAGAUGGACCCGCGGCGCAUUAGCUAGUUGGUGAGGUAACGGCUCACCAAGGCGACGAUGCGUAGCCGACCUGAGAGGGUGAUCGGCCACACUGGGACUGAGACACGGCCCAGACUCCUACGGGAGGCAGCAGUAGGGAAUCUUCCGCAAUGGACGAAAGUCUGACGGAGCAACGCCGCGUGAGUGAUGAAGGUUUUCGGAUCGUAAAGCUCUGUUGUUAGGGAAGAACAAGUACCGUUCGAAUAGGGCGGUACCUUGACGGUACCUAACCAGAAAGCCACGGCUAACUACGUGCCAGCAGCCGCGGUAAUACGUAGGUGGCAAGCGUUGUCCGGAAUUAUUGGGCGUAAAGGGCUCGCAGGCGGUUUCUUAAGUCUGAUGUGAAAGCCCCCGGCUCAACCGGGGAGGGUCAUUGGAAACUGGGGAACUUGAGUGCAGAAGAGGAGAGUGGAAUUCCACGUGUAGCGGUGAAAUGCGUAGAGAUGUGGAGGAACACCAGUGGCGAAGGCGACUCUCUGGUCUGUAACUGACGCUGAGGAGCGAAAGCGUGGGGAGCGAACAGGAUUAGAUACCCUGGUAGUCCACGCCGUAAACGAUGAGUGCUAAGUGUUAGGGGGUUUCCGCCCCUUAGUGCUGCAGCUAACGCAUUAA
rnacentral:rRNA from 1 species